UACGUAGGUGGCAAGCGUUAUCCGGAUUUAUUGGGUUUAAAGGGUGCGCAGGCGGAUUUUUAAGUCAGCGGUCAAAUCGUGGGGCUCAACCUCCGCCCGCCGUUGAAACUGACGGUCUUGAGUGGGCGAGAAGUAAGCGGAAUGCGUGGUGUAGCGGUGAAAUGCAUAGAUAUCACGCAGAACGCCGAUUGCGAAGGCAGCUUACCGGCGCUCAACUGACGCUGAGGCACGAAAGUGCGGGUAUCGAACAGG
rnacentral:rRNA from 1 species